rnacentral:rRNA from 1 species
GCGGCCACAGCGGCAGGGAAACUCCUGUACCCAUUCCGAACACAGAAGAUAAGCCUGCCCACGUUCCGUACUGUACUAAAGUGCGCGAGCCUUUGGGAAAUACGGAUAGCUGCUAUGC